UUUGCGGAAACAGUGAAG
rnacentral:misc_RNA from 1 species